CCUACGGGUGGCAGCAGUGGGGAAUAUUGCACAAUGGGGGAAACCCUGAUGCAGCGACGCCGCGUGAGUGAAGAAGUAUUUCGGUACGUAAAGCUCUAUCAGCAGGGACGAAAAUGACGGUACCUGACUAAAAAGCCCCGGCUAAAUACGUGCCAGACGCCGCGGUAAUACGUAGGGGGCAAGCGUUAUCCGGAUUUACGGGGUGUAAGGGGAGCGUAGACGGCAGCGCAAGUCGGGAGUGAAAUCCCAGGGCUUAACCAUGGAACUGCUUUGGAAACUGUGCAGCUGGAGUGCAGGAGAGGUAAGCGGAAUUCCUAGUGUAGCGGUGAAAUGCGUAGAUAUUAGGAGGAACACCAGUGGCGAAGGCGGCUUACUGGACUGUAACUGACGUUGAGGCUCGAAAGCGUGGGGAGCAAACAGGAUUAGAUACCCCUGUAGUC
rnacentral:rRNA from 1 species